AAGGCCUCCUUCACCGCUGGAGGAUUCCAAGGCCCCCUGUCCCAACGUCACCACCGAGUUCCUCCUUCCCUUGCCGGAGCUAAGAUUUCUCAGCCUCGCCAACAACCAGAUUGAAAACGAAGAAGACCUGCUGGCCGUGGCUCUCUUCCCCUCCCUGACGGAGCUCACCUUCUACGGCAACCCAUUCACCACAUCCCGAAGCGGUGACCCACCUCUUCUCACCAGUUUCCUUCAAGACAAGCUGGGGAUUAAGCUGGUGAGGAAGAAAGUUUCCAAGCUGGAGAAGCCCCGCGUUUUUAUCCCCGUCAAAGCCAACCGGGAGGUACAAACUUUGACAAAUGGGUGGUAAGGUUAAGGUGAAGGUUCCCCUCCUAAAGGUAAAGGUUCCCGUGCUCGUCGUUUCCGGCUCUAGGGGACGGUGCUCAUCUCCGUCACAAAGCCGAAGAGCCAGCGCUGUCCGAGGACGUCUCCGUGGUCAUGUGGCCGGAAGGACUAAACGCUGCCGAAGGCACACGGAGUGCUGUUCCCUUCCCGCCAAAGGGCUCCCUACUUUCCUACUUGCAUUUUUUCCAUGCUUUCGAGCUGCUAGUGCGAUGACACAAAGGGGCAUGGCACAAAAGCAACCAAGUC